GCCUUCUUAGCUCAGAGGUAGAGCGUUGGUCUCGUAUUCAACUAUUAAGUUAACCAAAGGUCGGGAGUUCAAUCCUCCCAGGAGGCA
rnacentral:tRNA from 1 species